AAACCGUUCAGGGGUAAACCUGAGAAACCCAAAAGUUCGAACGGGGAGAUUCACCGUCAGCGGAGCAGGCUUCGCGGAGGUGCGUGAUGUCGCGGCGACCUCGGUCUCGCUUCACUGGUCCUCUGCGCAUGUCCGGCGACGUCGGCGUGCACUUCUCCUCUAGUAGGACGUCGCGACCCGUUGGGUGCCGGCCUACGGCCUCGGGGUGCUGCCCGUCGCUCCGCUUCGGCGCGCGCGACGAACCACCGGACCUGACACUCUGCUGGCCGGCGUGGACCUCCGACGGGCCGAAACGUGAACGAUACCGGUCAGCGACGCUAUUGCUUUGGGUACUCUCAGGACCCGUCUUGAAACACGGACCAAGGAGUCUAACAUGUGCGCGAGUCAUUGGGACUUGAAAGACCUAAAGGCGAAAUGAAAGUGAAGGUCGGCUUCGCGCCGACCGAGGGAGGAUGGGCCGCGUCACGAUGCGGCUCCCCACUCCCGGGGCGCCUCGUUCUCAUUGCGAGAUGAGGCGCACCCAGAGCGUACACGUUGG
rnacentral:rRNA from 1 species